UCGGAUUGUAGUCUGCAACCGGCUACAUGAAGCUGGAAUCGCUAGUAAUCGCGGAUCAGAAUGCCGCGGUGAAUACGUUCCCGGGUCUUGUACACACCGCCCGUCACACCAUGGGAGCCGGAAAUGCCCGAAGUCAGUGACCCAACCGCAAGGAGGGAGCUGCCGAAGGUGGAGCUGGUAACUGGGGUGAAGUCGUAACAAGGUAUC
rnacentral:rRNA from 1 species